AUUGAACGCUGGCGGCAUGCUUUACACAUGCAAGUCGAACGGUAACAGGGAGCUUGCUCCGCUGACGAGUGGCGAACGGGUGAGUAAUGCGUCGGAACGUGCCGAGUCGUGGGGGAUAACGCAUCGAAAGGUGUGCUCAUACCGCAUACGUACUGAGGUAGAAAGUGGGGGACCUUCGGGCCUCACGCUAUUCGAGCGGCCGACGUCUGAUUAGCUAGUUGGUGAGGUAAAGGCUCACCAAGGCGACGAUCAGUAGCGGGUCUGAGAGGAUGAUCCGCCACACUGGGACUGAGACACGGCCCAGACUCCUACGGGAGGCAGCAGUGGGGAAUUUUGGACAAUGGGCGCAAGCCUGAUCCAGCCGUGCCGCGUGUCUGAAGAAGGCCUUCGGGUUGUAAGGGACUUUUGUCCGGGAGCAAAUGCUGGUGGCUAACAUCCACCGGAGCUGAGAGUACCGGAAGAAUAAGCACCGGCUAACUACGUGCCAGCCGCCGCGGUAAAAC
rnacentral:rRNA from 1 species